rnacentral:rRNA from 1 species
UACGUAGGUGGCAAGCGUUGUCCGGAUUUACUGGGCGUAAAGGGCGUGCAGGCGGUUUGUUAAGUGCAGGGUGAAAGCUCCCGGCUCAACUGGGAGAGGUCCUUGCAUACUGGCAAACUCGAGGGAGGCAGAGGAAAGUGGAAUUCCCGGUGUAGUGGUGAUAUGCGUAGAUAUCGGGAGGAACACCUGUGGCGAAGGCGGCUUCCUGGGCCCUACCUGACGCUGAGACGCGAAAGCGUGGGGAGCGAACCGG